CCGCUUGUUGAAUGUGCUAUAAAAGCGUGGCCUUUUCGUCAUGAAAUAUAUACAGAAAUCAAAAUGAUUAAGCUACUGAUCGUGACUGCUCUACUAAUGGUAUUAGUUGGCAUGGUAUCAGGAUAUUGCAACAGAAACUGUUAUUGCAGUGACAAUCCAUGCCCGUCGAAUAAAGAACAAUGUCAGCCCGGCACCUGUCCUGACCCGACUUAUAGAUGCUGCGACAAAUAAGAGGAAGCCAAGGGAUAUUGAAAUAAGCACCACAGAAAAUAUGCUUAAUUACUUAUACAAUGUACAAUGAAUGUAAAAAACUAAAUAAAUCAUAUAAUAGCAAA